rnacentral:misc_RNA from 1 species
UGGUUUUGGCUUCGAUGAAGAACGCAGCGAAAUGCGAUAAGUAAUGUGAAUUGCAGAAUCAGUGAAUCAUCGAAUUUUUGAACGCAUAUUGCACUCCUUGGUAUUCCUUGGAGUACACUUGUUCGAGCGCCGUUUGUGUCAUAAGGCUCUGCCUUGCGUUGAGAUUUCCUGCGAAGGAACUCUCCAAACACAUGGGCGUCUGUCGUGCCUGAACCGCAACACAAUGCGUCUAAAGGACUUCGGCAUGCGCCAAAAACUUGUUAAGCAUGGCCUCGGAUCAAGUGGGGAUACCCGCUAA